rnacentral:rRNA from 1 species
GGGCCCGCACAAGCGGUGGAGUAUGUGGUUUAAUUCGAUGCAACGCGAAGAACCUUACCAGGGUUUGACAUCCUGCGAAUCUCUUGGAAACGAGAGAGUGCCUUCGGGAACGCAGUGACAGGUGGUGCAUGGCUGUCGUCAGCUCGUGUCGUGAGAUGUUGGGUUAAGUCCCGCAACGAGCGCAACCCACGUCUUUAGUUGCCAGCAUUUAGUUGGGCACUCUAGAGAGACUGCCGGUGAUAAACCGGAGGAAGGUGUGGAUGACGUCAAGUCAUCAUGCCCCUUACAUCCUGGGCUACACACGUACUACAAUGGUAGUGACAAUGGGUUAAUCCCAAAAAGCUAUCUCAGU